rnacentral:rRNA from 1 species
ACGAACGCUGGCGGCAUGCCUAACACAUGCAAGUCGAACGAGACCUUCGGGUCUAGUGGCGCACGGGUUCGUAACGCGUGGGAACCUGCCCUUAGGUUCGGAAUAACUCCCCGAAAGGGGUGCUAAUACCGGAUAAUGUCUUCGGACCAAAGAUUUAUCGCCUUUGGAUGGGCCCGCGUUGGAUUAGCUAGUAGGUAGGGUAACAGCCUACCAAGGCGACGAUCCAUAGCUGGUCUGAGAGGAUGAUCAGCCACACUGGAACUGAGACACGGCCCAGACUCCUACGGGAGGCAGAAGUGGGGAAUAUUGCACAAUGGGCGAAAGCCGGAUGGAGCCAAGCCGCGUGUAUGAAGAAGGCCUUCGGGUUGUAAAAUACUGUCAGCGGGGAGGAAGGAAGGAAAGUGAAUACCUUUGCGCAUUGAGGUUACCCACAGAAGAAGCACCGGCUAACUCCGUG